AGAGACAGAUAGAGGGACAGAGAGAGAUAGAUAGAGGGACAGAGAGAGAGAGAGACAUAGAGAGAGAGCGCAGGAUGUUGGCGGUCUGGAGACAGUGUAGCCGAUCCAGGUGGUGAGCGAUGACUCUGGGGAUGAGCCAGAGAGUCAAGAUACUGAGGUUCCCAUGGGGCACAUGGGAAAAGAAGCCGGCAGCGUGGUGUUGGCGGCGGAUGGAGGUGCAGCUAAAGGUGACAAAAGGGGUGCCAAGCACAAUCCGUGGACCCCAGCAGAAGUGAAAGCUGUUGAACGUCACAUGAUUCGGUUCAUUCGCUCAUUCAAGGUGCCGGGCAAGAAUGACUGUGAUGCGUGCCUAAGGGCAGAACGACAAGCGCUGAAGGCUCGGAACUGGCUCUCUGUUAAGUUUUACAUUAAGAACCGAAUUACUGCUGAAAUGAGAGAACCUUUCCUGAAUAAAAUGUAUCUGCUGCUGAA